UACGUAGGGGGCUAGCGUUGUCCGGAAUCAUUGGGCGUAAAGCGCGUGUAGGCGGUUCGGUAAGUCCGCUGUGAAAGUCGGGGGCUCAACCCUCGGAAGCCGGUGGAUACUGUCGGGCUAGAGUACGGAAGAGGCGAGUGGAAUUCCUGGUGUAGCGGUGAAAUGCGCAGAUAUCAGGAGGAACACCGAUUGCGAAGGCAGCUCGCUGGGACGUUACUGACGCUGAGACGCGAAAGCGUGGGGAGCAAACAGG
rnacentral:rRNA from 1 species